GAUGAACGCUGGCGGCGUGCCUAAUACAUGCAAGUCGAGCGAACGGACGAGAAGCUUGCUUCUCUGAUGUUAGCGGCGGACUGGUGAGUAACACGUGGAUAACCUACCUAUAAGACUGGGAUAACUUCGGGAAACCGGAGCUAAUACCGGAUAAUAUUUUGAACCGCAUGGUUCAAAAGUGAAAGACGGUCUUGCUGUCACUUAUAGAUGGAUCCGCGCUGCAUUAGCUAGUUGGUAAGGUAACGGCUUACCAAGGCAACGAUGCAUAGCCGACCUGGGAGGGUGAUCGGCCACACUGGAACUGAGACACGGUCCAGACUCCUACGGGAGGCAGCAGUAGGGAAUCUUCCGCAAUGGGCGAAAGCCUGACGGAGCAACGCCGCGUGAGUGAUGAAGGUCUUCGGAUCGUAAACUCUGUUAUUAGGGAAGAACAUAUGUGUAAGUAACUGUGCACAUCUUGACGGUACCUAAUCAGAAAGCCACGGCUAACUACGUG
rnacentral:rRNA from 1 species